UACGAAGGGGGCUAGCGUUGCUCGGAAUUACUGGGCGUAAAGGGCGCGUAGGCGGAUAGUUUAGUCAGAGGUGAAAGCCCAGGGCUCAACCCUGGAAUUGCCUUUGAUACUGGCUAUCUUGAGUUCGGGAGAGGUGAGUGGAAUGCCGAGUGUAGAGGUGAAAUUCGUAGAUAUUCGGCGGAACACCAGUGGCGAAGGCGGCUCACUGGCCCGGUACUGACGCUGAGGUGCGAAAGCGUGGGGAGCAAACAGG
rnacentral:rRNA from 1 species